UCACAAGAGCCGACAGAAGCCCAGGACCAAAGCGCAGGCGACGUCGCGUAGCGACUCCCCGCCCCUCCCAGAGACGCAUCUGAUUGGACAAUAACUGAGGCCACGCCCCUUUGCCUAUGUGACGUGGAAGGCGAACCUCCCGUGACCCAGCCAGCUUGCCGGCCUUCCUCGGAGGCCAGUCCCUCCCCACCCCCGAGGGGCGAGGAAGGAACCCUGAGCUUCAACGCGUUAAGCAGGCGCUCCACCACUGAGCCACACCCCAGCCCUAACAUAUUGGCAUUUUAAGAAUUUGUUCCUAUCCCAGAAAGAAGACUGGCACCGCGUGGGCAAGUAGUUCCAGGCUGUUUUCACUUGGAGCGACCCACUUGUGCAAAGCAAGAGGAGAGCAAGACCAAAACUGAAAGGAGAGCCAGCCAGCUUUUCUCCACCGGGUCAGGGGCUUGGCAUUAAGGCACGAAGGCCAUUCAUGGAACUGUGAUGCUCUUUUAGGAUCACUUAGAAUCACAGACACUUAAAAGUGACGUCAGCGUAUAUAAUAGAGUCAGCCUCCAGUUUGAUCUUGACGGUUGCCGGCGUUGAGGCCUAAACCAUCCCUUCCUCACCCUGCACAUCUGGCACUUUGAUUCUGGCAGGAAGUGUAAACUUUGCUGGCCAAGUCUGAGAUCAGAAACUCUUCUCAACCAACUGCCACCUAUAAGUUGAACUGGAACUGAGGUAUUACAUUCAGCUGCAUCAGAGGAAACACCCAUGAUUUUCCACACAGGAAGAAGGUGCUUAUUCUCCCAUGAAAGGACUGGGAGAGCAGUUACUGCACAAUCAGUGCAGCAGAGGAACAAACUCUGUUAUAGUCAGCUUUGCACUGCUGUGACCAACAUACCCAACAAGAAUAACUCAGGAAGCUGUGUGGAAUGUAUAAAUACUGCUCCUGUCCUGCAAUAAAGGGCUCCUACUCCUGCUGUAUCAAUCUACACAAGUUGUUCGUCACCCCCCUGAUUAUUCUGCUGCAGCCGGACUGCGGCAGAUGGUGGCCCGUUACGGGGAGCCCUGGGACACUCGGGGGUAAGUGACGAAAAAAAGCUGCCCGUCCAUAGAUAGGACGGGAGCAAUCUGCUCGUCCCUAGGCAGAUAGGGCGAGAGGAAAAAUGACCAUUUUGAGAAAAUGGAGAAGAUUGAUACAGUAUGUUUGUGUCUUGUUUUGUCUUGAAAUGUUGUAUUGUCUUUGUGAUGAAAAUAUGGAAGGGGUGAGAACUAAAUUACUAAGGGAAGAAGGCACCCCAGUGGAACCAAGAAUAGUUAGGGCAUGUGUCGAUAAGAGCCCAGGAACUCGAGUCAGAAAGAAAAAGAAAGUUCAGAAGAAGAAGGAUUAUCAGAAAAAAAGUUGCAGCAAAAGAUUAUUACUAAAUACUUUUCGUUACCAGAGGGUGCGUGAAGCGGAGAGGCGGCUGCCAAAUGUGCAAGCUGGUCACAGCGCAACAAGGAUUUUCCAAGAGGUGGCGGCGACUGGCCCUUCCCCGCCUCCUGGCCGGGGAGCUGGCUCUUCCACUGCCCGAGCCCAAAUCUAGACCUGACCUGGAGGCACAGUCUCGCAGGCUCUUGCUCCCUGUGCCCAGUAGCAGUUUGAGACCGGGACUCUCCCCAGGGCCAUCUGGGGCUACCCGGGACGCUACAGCCGCAGAAGACACUACUGGUGUCCCUGAUGUUUGGUCAUUUUCAAUGCCAAUAACUAAGCUACAAUGGUUCUCCCACACCUGGAAGCUAAUGAGUAAUGAGCACCAUUAAGGCUUAUUUAAAUGUAAAAAACCUUGAGAUAAUGUACUAAAUUGUUCAGAAGGUUGUUUUCUUAGUGCCUGCUGGAAUACUACAGGAUUUUCUUUAGCCAUCCGGAGUUCCUGCCUUCAUCCCAGUGCCAGUAAAGACCAAGGUGGAAGAAUUUCCAGUGUUGCUGAAAACUGGAGGAGACUUCGGAGCUAUUGCUGUUUCUGCUGCUACAACUUAAGCUAGCUGCCUGCAGAACUUACCUGGACUGUGAUUUAAGCUAGAUGCCUGCAGAAUUUACCUGGACUGUGAUUUAAGCUAGCUGCCUGCAGAACUUACCUGGACUGUGAUUUAAGCUAACUGCCUGCAGAAUUUACCUGGACUGUGAGUUAAUCUAUUGAGACACUGCUUUACCUGGACUGAGACAACAAACUAUAAUCUACAACAAAUUGUAACUCGGUAUCUUUGCUAACAGUGUCAUUGCUGGUAUAAUUUUUCCAAGGGCUUCUUGCAUGGAGCCAUCAAUUGGCUUGGUAUUGUGACAUUUUGUAUCCUCCCCUUCUGCUUGUAGCAGAUUACUUAUAGUGUUUCUGUAAAAACCACUAUGGUCCUUAUUUAAAUUAAACAAAAGGGGGAAAUGUUGGAAUCUGUAAACAAGUCAAAAUAACACCUGGCAUUUUGCCAAGGGAAUGUUAGAGUUCCUAAACAAGUCUGGAUGGUGCCUGGCAAAAUGCCAGAGGGAGUGGUUUGAGAAGUAACAAAACUGAGCCAUUAAGUAUGGAGAUUCCUGAUUGGUUGACUGAUGUAUCUAGUUUAUGCUAAUUAGAUAAGCUGUGUGGAAUGUAUAAAUACUGCUCCUGUCCUGCAAUAAAGGGCUCCUACUCCUGCUGAAAAAAAAAAAAAAAAAAGAAUAACUCAGGAGGAAAAUUUUAUUCUGGCUCACCAUUUCAGAGUUUCAGUCCAUGGCUGGACAAUUUCAUAGCUCUGGGCCUGAGGUGAGGCAGAACAUCAAGGCAGAAGGGUGUGGUGGAGGGAAGCAGAAAGAACUUGAAUGCAAGGAGCCAGGAAUAUUAUUACUCCCCAGGGCAGGCCCCCAGUGACCUGCUUCCUGCAGUCAUGCCCUUCCUGCCUACAGUUACCAAUGCAUUCAAAUUACUAACCCAACUGGUUAAUCCACAAUUAGGCCACAGCUCUUAAAAAUCUAAUCAUUUCACCUCUGAACAUUCCUACAUUGUCACACAUGAGCUUUCAGGGACUACCUCACAUCCAAACCAUAACAAACUCUCAUCUAGUGAGUUUUGCUAGCAUCCUUGUAGCUGUCAUGCUCAAUCAAGAACAUAGUCACUAUCCCCAUGAACAAAGAUACCUGACAUACAAAUUAGAUCUUCUUAGAGUCUAGACUUAGGACUUGAAAGAAAAUCCAAACUGCAAGGUGGAUUUUUUUUAACACAUAGUUCAGGGUCCUGUUUUUAGGAAUGAGCCACUGGUAGACACAAUACAUUUAUGAUUUUAUAACAUUUCCUUUGGGUUGUAUAUUUUCUGGAGGAUUAAACACCAAUUACAAAUUACACUGGGCAUUUUCAGAUUACUUUUUUGGGGGGAUGGGUACUAGAAACUAAAUUCAGGGGCACUCAACCACUAAGCCACAUCCCUAGUGCCCCACCCCACUUUUUGCUGGUUGGUUGGUUGGUUUCUAUUUUAUUUAUAGACAGUGUCUCACUGAGUUGCUUAGCACCUCACUAAAUUGCGAUCCUCCUGUCUCAGUCUCCUGAGCUGCUGGGAUUACAGGCGUGCACCCUGCGCCCAGCUUAGUUUUAAAAUGUAUUUGUUAAAAUUGAAAACUUUCUUGUAUUUUUCACAUUUAUGGAGUUUUGAUCCAAUGUGCAUUUGUUUUGUUUUCUUUUGAGAAGGGGUCUCACCCUGUUGCCCUGACUGGUCUUGAGCUCUUGGGCUCAAGCAGCGCUCCCUGCCCAGCCCCAGUGGCUGGGACUGAAGGCAGGUACCACGAUGCCUGGUUGUGUGUGUUCUUACAUGUAGGCCAAUCGAAGACUUUUGCACAUCACUUCUACUCAAGAGGCUUCUCUCCACUCUGCUUCUUUAUGACUCUGAAUUGAACUGGGAUGAUGAAAGACUUUCCCACACACUUUGUUUAUAGGCCUUUGUCAAACAAUGCACUCUCCCCACAUGUGGCUCGAAAGCUUUGUUGAUAAUAAAAGCUGUCCCACAUUA